GCGUGAGUGAUGAAGGCCUUAGGGUUGUAAAGCUCUUUUACCAGGGAUGAUAAUGACAGUACCCAGAGAAUAAGCCCCGGCUAACUCCGUGCCAGCAGCCGCGGUAAUACGGAGGGGGCUAGCGUUGUUCGGAAAUACUGGGCGUAAAGCGCACGUAGGCGGUGAAGUAAGUCAGAGGUGAAAUCCCAGGGCUCAACCCUGGAACUGCCUUUGAAACUGCUACACUAGAAUCAUGGAGAGGUCAGUGGAAUUCCGAGUGUAGAGGUGAAAUUCGU
rnacentral:rRNA from 1 species